GCCCCUGUGGCGGAAUGGUAGACGCGACAGACUCAAAAUCUGUUGUCCAUUGUGGGUGUGCUGGUUCGAGUCCUGCCAGGGGCACCA
rnacentral:tRNA from 1 species